rnacentral:rRNA from 1 species
UACGUAGGUGGCGAGCGUUGUCCGGAUUUACUGGGCGUAAAGAGCGCGCAGGCGGUCGUACAAGUCGCGUGUGAAAGCCCCCGGCUCAACUGGGGAGGGUCACGCGAUACUGUUCGACUCGAAGGCAGGAGAGGGAAGCGGAAUUCCCGGUGUAGCGGUGAAAUGCGUAGAGAUCUGGAGGAACACCGAUGGCGAAGGCAGCCUUCUGGGCCAACACUGACGCUCAUGCACGAAAGCGUGGGGAGCAAACAGG